rnacentral:lncRNA from 1 species
ACUAGCGGGAGGGGGCCGGGCUAGCGGGCUACUGGGCUGCGGAGACCAGAGCCCGGCUCCACUGAAGAAACCCGCCGGCUGCUGGGGCAGGGCGGCGAAAGGUCAGUCGGCCGAGAGGAGUCCGUGGAGCCACCGUUUCAUAGCCUCAGGGAAAGGAUCGGGCGUGCUCACGAGCCCUCUAACCCAUGGCUUAAACACCCGCUUCCUAAGCCUGGUUCCUGAAUAUAUCACAUGUGGUGAUAAACAUGAAGAUGUAUGAAAAAUUGUGUUCGUUGAGAGAAAAUGGAAGGCUUUUCAUUCUACUUCCACAUUUUCAUUCCAGCAGCUUUUCUGUUUUGGAAGAUGAGUACUGAAUCUUGCAAUGAAAUUUUUUUAACUUAAACAAGACAAGGAAAAUGAAGCGCAGAGACGUUAAAUAACUCUCUCAAGGUCAUGCAGCUGAGAAGAGAUGAGACUUGAACUCCAGUGCCAGCCCUGUUAAUCACUAUUCUGUACUGUCUUUCAGGUUCUUAUGCCUUUGUUUGAAAAACAUGGUUCCCUGUGAAAUUUUACAUGUAGAAGAAAGCUUCACACUACGAGAGCUCUCAGGAUAUAAUUAUUUCAGACAGAUACUGGGAACAUAAGAUGGCUUAUCAAUCUAAGAUGGCCUUCCUGUCCUUCGGAUUGAACUGAAACCAUCCCUGAUUCCAGGGAUAGGUAGAUGAUCCAGGUUUGGACAAUCAAAAUAUUGAACCACCCUGGACCUACAAGUGUUUCUGGGAUGGGAACAUGCAAACGUUGGUCCAAAUUGUUGUUCUAGGCAGCCCAGUACAUUUCUCCAAUGCCUGAUGGAAUGAUAGGGUAUGCAUAAAUGUUCAUGUGGGCUCUGGAGUAUACCAGGAACUGAAGUAAGGUACAUGGACGUCUUGAAUAUUGUAACUGAGAUGGGCAAGCCUACACCUUUGCAAAUAAAGGAGGAUUGGGAAAGAUUAAGAUCCUGUUAAACGUCAGUGUUACUAUUUAGCCUUUGAUAUCUCCAGUAAAGGCAACUUCUUUCUGGACCCAGAAAUAAAGCUUUACAUUAGCAGCUUCCAUAACACCAAUAACAUGAAUGACCAUCUACUGAGCAAUUGCAGUGCACCAGGAUUAUGGCUUAUGAGCACUUUAUGUUUAUUAUCUCACAACUCACUGAGUUAGAUACUCUCCACAACCCAGUGAGCCUCUCAAGCACUGUGAAAAAUCACUUUCUCUUGUUGUAUUCUUGGAGCCCCUGCUAAUUCAUUAUUGAAAAAUACCUGCUGCCUGCAUUUGGCCUUAUGUUGUCAUUUACUUGGUACUUCCUAAGCGUGGCUACUCCAAUGAAGCUUUAGUAUAUGUACUGAAAGAAGAUCCUCUCAUACUGCCACAGCCAAGAGAUAAGGUUGUAAAUCUUUAUUGGGAGAAGCCGUCAAGGACAGUUCUGUGAAAUGAAAGGAUCUCUGGAUCACCACAAAGUCUGGCUCAGUGACUAUGGCUUUGCAAACACUAAACAUUCCUGUCUCAAGUCCUGUAGAUGGCUUGAAAUAGUAUACAUAAGCAUGCCUUAUAAACAUCUUCAGUCUUUAUCAACUCUUUGGAGAUUCAGCCAUUCUUUUUUGUACUUUAGGGAAUUAAAUCAUUUUAUAAUGUAUAAAUCUGAGCAUGGCCGAUGGCAGAAGAAAUUUUGUCAUACGUUUUUAAAGAAAUAAAAAUGUAUUAUGUUUUAAAAUUCCUUUAACUGUUUUUCUUACAAAAUUCCCAACAACUUAGUUACCAAGUAAACUAUCUCAGAUAUGAUUUUUCAGUCCUUGCUAAUCUAUUUAUAAAAUCUUUUGCUAUUUU